rnacentral:lncRNA from 1 species
AGAAGGAUUUGAAAUUCAAACCAAACCUGAAAAGCUGUCAGUCGCGUCCCAGGCGCUCCGGGGACGUCUCCGCUACAACGAGGGACGUCUCGCCUACAGGAUUUUACUUUUUAUGUUGUCUGGGGUCGACUCGGCACUUUACGGAGACGUCUCGGCUUGUCUGCACUUUUUGAGUGGGGACGACUCCGCUGCCUUGGGGACGACUCCGCUUCUUUAUCUCCGAAAGACAUGUCCUCUAGAAUUCCCUGAGAGAGUCGACUCCGCUCUUUCAGGGGACGUCUCGGCUCGUCUGCACUUUAUGCAUGGGGACGGCUCCGCUGUCUCAGGGUCGACUCCGCUGCCUUAUCACCGAAAAAACCAUUCUCUAGAAAACCCUGAGAGAGCCGUCUCGGCUAUCUUGGGGACGACUCGGAAACUCUCCUUUUUACCUGCGGGGACGACCCGGCGUACAGUGG